rnacentral:rRNA from 1 species
UACGUAGGGGGGCAAGCGUUGUCCGGAUUUAUUGGGCGUAAAGAGCGUGUAGGCGGUUUUACAGGUCCCGCUGUGAAAACUCGAGGCUCAACCUCGAGCUGUCGGUGGAAACCAUCAGACUAGAGUCCGGAAGAGGAGAGUGGAAUUCCUGGUGUAGCGGUGAAAUGCGCAGAUAUCAUUUGGAACGCCAAUGGUGAAAACAACUCGCUGGGGGUGUGCUGACGCGUGAGACACGAAAGCCCAGGGGAGCGAACGGG